rnacentral:lncRNA from 1 species
UCAAGGCCUGGAGGAAUCCUUGAGGAAUCCUUUGUUGGGAGGUGUUAACUGGUCCUGAUUGUUUCCUGUUUGAAAUUCCCCCGUUUUCAGAGUGUUGUUCUUUAUUUACUGUCCAGAUUUUAGAGUUUUUUUUAAUACUGGUAGCCAGAUUUCAUUCAUUUUCAACAAAGGAUUCCCCCCCCCCCAGGAAUCAGCCAGGCCUUGAAGCUGCAAGGCUUUUCAAAUGCUAAUCAAGGUGAUUAAUUUCAACAUAAACAGACAAGAGUUCUUUCUCCCACCCUGGAGCUUCCACAGAUAUAUAAACCUCACUUUCUUAGUUUCCAACAGAUCUCACAACCUCUGAGGAUGCCUGCCAGAGAUGUGGGCGAAACGUCAGGAGAUAAUGCUUCUGGAACAUGACCAUACAGCCAGGAAAACUCACAACCACCUUAUUAUUAUUAUUAUUAUUAUUAUUAUUAUUAUUAUUAUUAUUAUUUACAGUGAACUGGACUAAUGAGACGGGAUGAAUGCGUAUAAAAUAUAGUAACUUCUUUCUAUAUUUCUUUCUGUUCUGUUCUGUGUCUGCACUGCAGGAACUGUGCUGACUUAAAUAUGAGACCGAGGAAUGGGAUCAUACAUCAUGGAAAAAAAAGCAAUCCAAAGAACUGUAAUGCAACCAAGAGUGCUGUACAGCCCAGAAGUGAAGAAUCAUACACUAUGUCCCAAAAUAGUGUUGUCAUGUUCAUCCAUCUCUUCAAAAAUUCAUUAUGAAAACAUUUUUUCUAGCUCUCUGAUUUAAUUCUGCCACAACUUGGGCCUUCCUUGGUUAUUGUCUGUCUUUUAACAGAAAAGUGGGCAAUUUGUGACCCUCCAGAUGUAGUUGGAUUUCAUCUCCCACCAUCUCCCACCAUUUGCUAAGUUGACUAAGGAAAAUGAAUAUUAUAGUCCAACAUUGGAGAGCUGUAAGUGGGGUGAGUAGAUUGAAUAAAGCUGUUGUUACUAUCACCCACUUGCCUUACUAGUUUUGUCCCUCCUAGCAGACUGCCCAUUCUGAUUUUAACAACAGAGCACUAUCAUUUUCCAUUUUGUCUUAACGUGGACUUUUGCUCUAAAGAACUUGCACUCUAGUGAUUUUACAAUCUAAUCAUUGCUUUGUUAUAUAAAAUGAAUUUAUAGACAGAGUUCCCAUCUGUGGAACUCCCUCCCUAAUGAAAUCAGAUCGGCCCCCUCACUUCUGUCCUUUAGGAAAAAAUUUAAAACAUGGUUGUGGGUCCAGGUACUCAAGCAGCAGACACAGCGAUAAUAAUGAGAAUGAUUUAUAUGAUUGACAAUGGACAGACCUUGGACUAUGACUUUGAACUUGUGUAAUUUUAGAUGGAUGUUUUUAUAAUUGAUGUUAUAACUAUUUGUUUUAAACCGUAAUUGUUUCAUAAUUGUUGUGUUUGGCAUCUAAUGAUUGCCGGUUGUGAGGCUGCCCUGAGUCCCCCCCCCCCCCCCCCCGUCCCCCUGGGGGUGAGAGGGAUGGAAUACAAAUGUAUGAAAUAAAUAAUAAAUAAAUUAUAUAAACUAUUAUAUGACUUUUUAUAGAAGGGGAAGAGAUAUAGGGAAAACAAGAAAAGGAUCUUUUG